rnacentral:tRNA from 2 species
GCCCCGGUAGCUCAGUGGUAGAGCGGCGGCCUCGUAAGCCGCAGGUCGCGGGUUCGAAGCAAGUCGGAAUACCCGCCCGGGGCU